rnacentral:rRNA from 1 species
UACGAAGGGGGCUAGCGUUGCUCGGAAUCACUGGGCGUAAAGCGCACGUAGGCGGAUCUUUAAGUCAGGGGGUGAAAUCCUGGAGCUCAACUCCAGAACUGCCUUUGAUACUGGGGAUCUCGAGUCCGGAAGAGGGUGAGUGGAACUCCGAGUGUAGAGGUGAAAUUCGUAGAUAUUCGGAAGAACACCAGUGGCGAAGGCGGCUCACUGGUCCGGUACUGGACGCUGA